rnacentral:rRNA from 1 species
CACGUAGGGGGCAAGCGUUGUCCGGAUUUAUUGGGCGUAAAGAGCUCGUAGGUGGUUCGAUAAGUCGGGUGUGAAACCUCCAGGCUCAACCUGGAGACGCCACCCGAUACUGUCGUGACUAGAGUCCAGUAGGGGAGCGUGGAAUUCCUGGUGUAGCGGUGAAAUGACGCAGAUAUCAGGAGGAACACCGGUGGCGAAGGCGGUUCUCUGGGCCUGUACUGACGCUGAGGAGCGAAAGCGUGGGGAGCGAACAGG